AACGACUCCAGUAUCUUUGCCAAGUCAUGAGACUGAAACAAUUGAACAACUGAUUACCAUGAGUUCCCAGGCUUGUGGGUCCAUAGGGCAUGGGGCACAUAGCAGAAAAGGUUAGAUUAGGGAGGAGGCAGGAAAGGAGGAGAAAACAGUGUUGUGAGGAAGAGUCAGCAAAUUUUGCUUGGUUAGAGCCAUAACAAGGACUCCUGGAAAUUCCAUGCUCCUGGGCACCAUCGAGGAGGCUUUCCCUCAACAACUAAGUCCUCCAGGUAAACACUCAGAAGUUAUUCAGUCUUCUUUUCAGUUGAAUGGAAUUAAAUUCAACAAACAUCAAUGAGUUGCCUACUGUGGACAUGGUGCUGAGGAAACAAAGAUAAAUGAUGGCAUAUCUUUUGCCCUGGAAGAGCUUACGUUCUACUGAGGAUGCAACAUGGAUUCAGAAAAGUGUAGUGCAAAGUAAGUAAUGUGUCAUGGGGGCAAAGGAGAGAUGCAGACAAGAUGCUCUAGGACUAUUUGCAAAGGGAGAGAGAGGACUUUCAUGGGAGGGAAGGUAGAUAGAGGGAAUUAAGUAAAGUGUCAUAGAAUCAUGAGGAUACAAAAAGGGGCAAAAGACCAUCCCUGCCCAGAAGGAGCAGGGGAGUGCUUCAUAGUUAGGGAGAAAACAAGCAAUUAGCUACAAACAAACUAUAUAAGAUAAAUAGGAAAUAAUUAAAAGCAGGAAAGCACAAGAAUUAAGAAAGACUUCCUGUAGAAAAUGAGAUUUUAGUUGGGACUUAAAGGAAACCUAGAAAGCCAACAGGCAGAGAUGAGGAAGAAGAUUAUUCCAGAUCUGUGGGACAGCCAGAG
rnacentral:lncRNA from 1 species